ensembl:lncRNA
GUGAUUUUCACUUUUAUUGAGUCAUUUUCUAUUAAGGUAUCUUUACAUUUACUCAAGUAUGACAAUUGGGUACUUUUUCCAAAACUGAAUAUUUUUGUGUUAUGAUACUCUGCUUUCACUUGGUUUGGUGACGUGUAAUUCCGACAUGGUGUGAUAAUUUGAACUAUCAAACCCAAUUUUGAACUUCAUCCAUCAUAGUUUUUCUUAAUCUGUUCCCUAGUCAUCUCUUCAUCUGUUCCCUAGUCAUCUCUUCAUCUGUUCCCUAGUCAUCUCUUAAUCUGUUUCCUAGUCAUCUCUUCAUCUGUUCCCUAGUCAUCUCUUCAUCUGUUCCCUAGUCAUCUCUUCAUCUGUUUCCUAGAAUAGUAUAGGCUAUGUGCUGUUGAUGGAGAUGAUGAAGAUAGAUCUGGAGAUUGAGGGGAUGCCUGUUCCCUUCUAGAAGAUUUAAAGAUAAGCAUAUAAAUGCAGUUGUGACAACCUCUCUUUCUCUUUCUCUCUCUCUCCCUCGCUUUCUCUCUCUUGCUCUCUUCCGCUCUCUCGCUCUCUCUCUCUAUCUUUCUCCCUCUUUCGCCCUCUUUUUCCCUCCUUCUCUACCUCUCUCUUCCUCUCUCUCCCUCUCUUUCUCCAUCUCUUUCUCAAAGCAAUUCAAUAAACUUUAUUGACAUGGAAAGUUAAAUCACUUACAUUGUCCAAGUAAACAUACUGUACAAUAAAUAUGGUUGAAUACGACCAUAAUAUCUCCCGCCCCCUCUCUCACUCCUGCUCCAAACACACUCUCUAAGAGAUCAGUUAUAUGUAGUAGAAAGAGCAGAUCCAAAGAUGACAUCCUCUCUCUCCCUCUCUCCCCCUCUCUCCUUAUACAAGCCACACUCUGAUAGGUGAAGGAUCCUGUGGGGUUGAUGAACUGGAGCCUGCAGUAGGUUCCCGGUUAGGGUUGAUGGGCUGCAGCCUGCAGUAGGUUCCCGGUUAGGGUUGAUGGACUGGAGCCUGCAGUAGGUUCCCGGUUAGGGUUGAUGGACUGCAGCCUGCAGUAGGUUCCCGGUUAGGGUUGAUGGACUGCAGCCUGCAGUAGGUCCCCGGUUAGGGUUGAUGGACUGCAGCCUGCAGGAGGUUACUGGUUAGGGUUGAUGGACUGCAGCAUGCAGGAGGUUACCGGUUAGGGUUGAUGGACUGCAGCCUACAGUAGUAGGUCCCCGGUUAGGAUUGAUGGACUGCAGCCUACAGUAGUAGGUUACCGGUUAGGGUUGAUGGACUGCAGCCUACAGUAGUAGGUUACCGGUUAGGGUUGAUGGACUGCAGCCUACAGUAGUAGGUUACCGGUUAGGGUUGAUGGACUGCAGCCUACAGUAGUAGGUUACCGGUUAGGGUUGAUGGACUGCAGCCUACAGUAGUAGGUCCCCGGUUAGGGUUGAUGGACUGCAGCCUACAGUAGUAGGUUACCGGUUAGGGUUGAUGGACUGCAGCCUACAGUAGUAGGUUACCGGUUAGGGUUGAUGGACUGCAGCCUACAGUAGUAGGUUACCGGUUAGGGUUGAUGGACUGCAGCCUGCAGUAGGUCCCCGGUUAGGGUUGAUGGACUGCAGCCUGC